CUUAAAUGUAGAGUGCAUUUUUAGUAGAUAGAAAUUCCCUUCGGGGCUUUCUGCAAGGUGCUGCAUGGUUGUCGUCAGCUCGUGCCGUGAGGUGUCGGGUUAAGUCCCAUAACGAGCGCAACCCUUAUCGUUAGUUGCCAUCUGGUAAUGCAGGGGACUCUAGCGAAACUGCCACCGUAAGGUGAGAGGAAGGUGGGGAUGACGUCAAAUCAGCACGGCCCUUAUGUCCAGGGCUACACACGUGUUACAAUGGUCGGUACAGAGGGCAGCUACCUGGUGACAGGAUGCUAAUCUCGAAAACCGGUCUCAGUUCGGAUCGAAGUCUGCAACUCGACUUCGUGAAGCUGGAUUCGCUAGUAAUCGCGCAUCAGCUAUGGCGCGGUGAAUACGUUCCCGGGCCUU
rnacentral:rRNA from 1 species